AGGCAGCGAAGGAGCAGCUCUCCUCCUGAGUCUCCAUCCCAAAGAAGACAGAGAGGAAGAAGACGGGGUGAAGUCGACAGUCCUGCCUCACCGGUGCAUCCCAGCAGCUCCUGAAGUUAAAACCAAGACGUCCGCUGUGAGGUCAAGAGGACAUGAUGUACCACGAAGACUGAGACUGAACCUGAAGACCUGUCAGAAGACUGAUCACAGAGGAUUCCUUCAGGAGUUGAGAUCUGCGACACCGGGAACCUGAACAUCGCCUCACCUGACACAAGGAUGUGUUUCAGAUAACACAGUGUGUAGACAAACAGUCACACUAAGCUCAUCACACUUCCUUCUAUAAAAUAUCUUCUAAGCCUCUGCUUAGUCAUAGUAUCACCAGGUAGACUGAAGGACUAUAAUCAUUUGCACGUUAGAUUACUAAAUAAAUCUGUUAAAUGUGAUAUGUGAAGUGAUGGAAGAAGUAUACACAUCCACUAUUCAGGAAAAAAAAGCGAUGUCAAAUUAUGUUACAUUGCAAGAAAACUAUCCACAAAAUGUACCCAAGUACUGCCAGUAGACUCUUUCUUUCCUUACAAGGGCUUUAAGUAAUAGUAGUGAUAGCGAAAGUAGAAAUACUCGCCCUGCAUUUAAAAAUGUUAAUCUGUUAUCAGCAAAAUGUACUUAAAGUACUCAAUGUUGUACAAUUAUAUAUUAUCAAAUAAUAUAUUAUUACUGGUGAAUUCACAUGUAUGCAGCAUUACAAUGUUGCACCUGGUUAAAGUGAGCUACUAUUACUAAACUAGUUUAUAAGACAGUAUGACAUUUUACAUAUUUUGGUAUAUAAAAGUACUUUUUUCUAACAGUACUUAAACAGUACUACUUACUUACUCAGUGAUGGAUUACACUAUUUUGGCAACAUAAUAGGUUUCUUUAGUUAAUUGUGUUUUCAUCCUCUCAUUAAAAUCCAGCAAAUAUUCAUAGAAUAUAAAUAAUUGAAUUGCACUAAAUACUUAUUUGUAGGUUUGUAUUUGAACAGCACUAUAAUAGCCUUUCAAAUGAGGUUUUCUGUCUAUGUCCUUUGUCGAAUACAUUACCAAAUGGCCUAUUUUAUCAAGAAUAACUGCAACCUUUGCACCCUUGAAACAUGAGUGCUUUGAAACCCAACCUUUCUCCAGCCUUAUUAGUAAGAUUAACUGUAAUCUGUUACCUCACUACUCAUGCCUCGUCUCGUGAGCCCUAACAGAGCAAGGGUUUGUGAGGAUCCGCAGGUCCGUUCUUCGGUGUGUCAGCCCCCCCACCACUACCUCCUCCACCUCCUCCACCCUCAGUGCACCACAGUUGCAUUAUUAAACUUGUAUAAGAUCAUUAGCAUACAAAGCAGGAAACCUACCGCGGUGGAGUCAUACAUAUUUAUCUGGACGUGCCUGACUUGUGCGUGCAUACACUCGUACUGUAACCCCUUUACACACAGGCGUGACUGGCUUCCUACUGCAGGAGAGCCGUGAACAGAGAAUAUGAAAAGGAUGUUACUAGAAGCACGACUAGUUUUAAGGCAUAGAUAUUCAUUUGUGCAACAUCUGAAGGAAGACGAGCGUGCAUUUGCCUUAAACUACACAUCAAAACAUGUGCCUUUAAGACUAAGAAAUGUGUGUAUUUGGAGGCAGAGCAGAUGGAGUUUGGUUAGGUUCAUCAGAGCAGUUUGCUUCUAGCAUAUCAAAUAUAGUUUACACACAGAGGAAUUUCAGAGUCUAGCAAUGCCUGCAAUACAUAUUCAUCUGCUGCACACAGAAGCACAUAAUCAAACAGAGGGAAAGACAAACAGAGAGCAUGGUCUUGUAAAUACUGUCACCUGUGGGUUACCUCUGCCUUUUGAAUGACUGUGAAAUCAGCUCCUUUUUCUCCUUCCUCUUCAAAUCCACUUUUCCUCCUCAACCAUGCAAUCCCCAGUUCCCUGCCCUUUUGGAGAUCACUUUCUGCACUUUCCUUCCUUUCCUCUACCUCCCUCCCUGGUGAGAGCACAACCCCUCCUUUAUUUUUGGCGACGCGGAGCCCUCUGUUAAUAUUCCUUCCUCCUUCCUUCUUUCUCCUCCCUCCUGUGAGAUUGCUGUUGUGUCUUAUGGCUUUUUAUUCCUACGUGAUGGUAGAUGGGUUCAUGUAGGAGUAGAAGCCACUAAACACGCGGUGAGUGCUCAACGCGCUGGCCAACACACACAGCGAGCUUCCUGUGGAUAUGACAGAUGCCAUGUUCACAUCACUGUGUUGCCCAUUAUCAAGAAUGUGCACACAGUAAAAAUAGUACUGGGUAAUCGCUGCAAAGAGUGGGUACUGUUUCUUUUCUUUUACCAGAUUUUUUUAUUUAGAAUGACUUCAUUAAUGGUUAUUAUACUUAAUUGAACAAUUGGUUUGAGGACAAUAGAGCAGAAUGUACAGCAAGUUUGGGCUGACAAAUCAAUCUGAGCAGAACAGACCUACUUUUCACAAAGAUUUCCCACCUGCAUGCUGGCUGCACGUGCCCUGAAUUUCAAACUCAUUCCUGCAUUCCUCUGCCCCGGGGUCGGCGUACAAAACUGGAGCUGAAAAGUUCUCAAAAUAGAGCUCAAGAGGAGUGGGUUGCCACAAUUGAAAUGAAACGCCGUGCGGAGGUAGGUCUGUUGUUUAAUAAUGUACACACUCUGUACAAAAUGCUAUGGUGCAAAGGUGAGAAUUGUUUUGUAUGGGAAUUUGGACAGGUAAUAUGUGAGAUAUUGCACUUCACAAACAUUAAUUUCACAUGCUAUUGCUGUCCUUUGAGCAAAGAAAAACUGACAGUUUUUAGAUUGAUGACAAUGUAUUUUUCAGAAUAUCUUAUAAUAUCAUAUAUAUGAUUUAAUUGGCUUAAACCUGCAUUGACUGAUGCCUCUGGCCAAUUGGGGGCAGCACAAAGAAGCUGUAAAACAACUCUGACACAAUAUAACUUUAUAAAGGAAACACAUUCAGCAAAUUCUGUCCAACUUAGGAAUAUCAAUAUUGAGUCACCUUUUAGCUCUGUUUUGGUCUCCACCAACUACCAAAGGAAAUAUCUGCCUCUUUAGCUGCUAAAUGAUCCACUAUGUUCACCAGCUGUAGUUGAUAACUGUGUCUGUCUGGGCAGGCAGUAGUUUUUAGAGCUUUUUGGCUGAAAACUGCUGCUGAGAGCAGUGAGAGUGAACAAAAACACUGAGUUGAAAGACAUUAAAUCGCUCCAUAGAGCUGACAGGUAACUGAAGACAUUUCAAGAUAGGUACAGAGGUAGCUCUAGAGGGGAGGCAGCCGCUGCCUCUCUAGAUCUGCCCCUGGAUACAUUAACUGUAAAAUUCUGGUAAAUUCACAUACGUACGUCUUUGUAAGGAACUGAUCAGACAAACGCUGUUCCUUUAAUGCUUUUAGCACCAGCCUCAAACGCUGUAUCUCCACUCUGUGCAAAGCCCUUAAAUUCCUGUCACCCUUCACAAAUUGGGUCCAGGACAUUUUGGCCAGCUCAAAAUGACUAAUAAUGGUAACUCUCUGCCUAGACUGAACUCAGUGUCAACCAAUUAAGCAAGAAAUUCAAAUUAUCCUGUUCCUGUUGGGUCCAAUGGGGUGCCAUGGGGGUUGGGUUUAAAUGUCAACCUUCUGUUUGUAUUUGCUAUAAAAUAAACUGCCCGCUCUCUCCUCCCGAGCCAAAUCUGAAUAAAGCCUAAAUGGGCUGUUGUCGAAAACCAAGAACUGAAUUAUUAAUACCUGGAUAUUACAAGAAUUUGACACAUGCUUGCAAUUGUGUGACAUUACUUCUGCACCGACAUGAGGUGGAUAAUUAUUCAAGAUGAAAUUGCAAUAGAUAUGGUCUGCUAAGGUUUAAUGAUUUAUUCAAGGCUGUAAGUUGUUAUGAUCUAAUAUUCAGUGGGUGGGAUGGGAAGUUUCUUCUGCUUGCAUUAUCAGUUUAAUUUAUUUUUCAGGUUCCCACUCCUACAUAGGGUUUUUUUUCUCCCUUCUUUAUAGAGAUAUGAGAAGGUCUGAGAGAAUAGUAGAGCAGUAGAGACACAUUAGUGGAGGCUGAAAGAGGAUUCGAUCCUGGACCAGCGGGGGUCCAUGGGAAUCUAAAGGUGGGAAUCAACCACCAUGGCAUCUAUGGGAAAGAGCCUGCAUUAUUGAAAACAGUACUGGCUUAUGAAGGGGAAGUUGUGUUUGAAUAGAUUGCUACCAUCCUCCAUUUCGCCCGAGGGUGUGUAUGCGUUUUCCUACGUUCCUCGCUUAUGAUCUGACUGUGCAGUAAACCUCACAUUUCCAAAAUGUCAAAAUAUUCUGUGAAAUAACACAGAAACAGCCUCAUUUUCACUUUAAGAGGAGUACAUUUGUUUAAUUAUGCAAUAGCUUUCAUGAGUCCUCGGGUUGUGAAACUUGUACAAGGUCACAUAAUCUUCAACUUCAGGUAAAAACAUGAAAAUCAUCAGAAUUGGAGUAAUGGGAUUUUCAUCUGACAGCUGCAAUAAUGUAGUGUGUUUGUGUACAGUAGGUUUAAUGUAUGAGUGUUGUGCUACUGUAUCCACCCCCCUCAGGCUAAACUUUUUUCCUGUAAUAAAUAAUGCUCUUUUGUGUUCUCUGCUUCAUUUGUUCCCUGUUGUAACGUCAGUGCUGCUCAAUAAAUUAUGAAUUACGCCUGUUCAA